rnacentral:rRNA from 1 species
CACAGAGAGCUUGCUCUCGGGUGACGAGCGGCGGACGGGUGAGUAAUGUCUGGGAAACUGCCUGAUGGAGGGGGAUAACUACUGGAAACGGUAGCUAAUACCGCAUAACGUCGCAAGACCAAAGUGGGGGACCUUCGGGCCUCAUGCCAUCAGAUGUGCCCAGAUGGGAUUAGCUAGUAGGUGGGGUAAUGGCUCACCUAGGCGACGAUCCCUAGCUGGUCUGAGAGGAUGACCAGCCACACUGGAACUGAGACACGGUCCAGACUCCUACGGGAGGCAGCAGUGGGGAAUAUUGCACAAUGGGCGCAAGCCUGAUGCAGCCAUGCCGCGUGUAUGAAGAAGGCCUUCGGGUUGUAAAGUACUUUCAGCGAGGAGGAAGGCGUUAAGGUUAAUAACCUUGGCGAUUGACGUUACUCGCAGAAGAAGCACCGGCUAACUCCGUGCCAGCAGCCGCGGUAAUACGGAGGGUGCAAGCGUUAAUCGGAAUUACUGGGCGUAAAGCGCACGCAGGCGGUCUGUCAAGUCGGAUGUGAAAUCCCCGGGCUCAACCUGGGAACUGCAUUCGAAACUGGCAGGCUAGAGUCUUGUAGAGGGGGGUAGAAUUCCAGGUGUAGCGGUGAAAUGCGUAGAGAUCUGGAGGAAUACCGGUGGCGAAGGCGGCCCCCUGGACAAAGACUGACGCUCAGGUGCGAAAGCGUGGGGAGCAAACAGGAUUAGAUACCCUGGUAGUCCACGCCGUAAACGAUGUCGACUUGGAGGUUGUGCCCUUGAGGCGUGGCUUCCGGAGCUAACGCGUUAAGUCGACCGCCUGGGGAGUACGGCCGCAAGGUUAAAACUCAAAUGAAUUGACGGGGGCCCGCACAAGCGGUGGAGCAUGUGGUUUAAUUCGAUGCAACGCGAAGAACCUUACCUACUCUUGACAUCCAGAGAACUUAGCAGAGAUGCUUUGGUGCCUUCGGGAACUCUGAGACAGGUGCUGCAUGGCUGUCGUCAGCUCGUGUUGUGAAAUGUUGGGUUAAGUCCCGCAACGAGCGCAACCCUUAUCCUUUGUUGCCAGCGGUCCGGCCGGGAACUCAAAGGAGACUGCCAGUGAUAAACUGGAGGAAGGUGGGGAUGACGUCAAGUCAUCAUGGCCCUUACGAGUAGGGCUACACACGUGCUACAAUGGCAUAUACAAAGAGAAGCGACCUCGCGAGAGCAAGCGGACCUCAUAAAGUAUGUCGUAGUCCGGAUUGGAGUCUGCAACUCGACUCCAUGAAGUCGGAAUCGCUAGUAAUCGUAGAUCAGAAUGCUACGGUGAAUACGUUCCCGGGCCUUGUACACACCGCCCGUCACACCAUGGGAGUGGGUUGCAAAAGAAGUAGGUAGCUUAACCUUCGGGAGGGCGCUUACCACUUUGUGAUUCAUGACUGGGGUGAAGUCGUAACAAGGUAACCGUAGGGGAACCUGCGGUUGGAUCACCUCCUUA